AAAGUUGUUCCAUGUUGGCAUUAUUUUUAUUAGUUGUAGUUCUUUAAUACCCUUGUCACCUUAAAUCAGAACAGAGGUAAAAAAAAAAAAAAAAAAAAAGACACAUUUGUCCCCAAAGUAUUUGUUUAUAUAUUUUUUGUAUUUAUUACAUAAAAUGUUAUUUAUUGAAAAUGAACUGUAUGUCUUAGAAAAAAUAAAUCAACUGCUUUGUAAGGGAAAUAUGUCUUUUUUUGUACCUUUAUUCUGGUUUAAAGGAAAUGCUACAUGAUUCAUGUUAUAAAUUUUAAGGCUUCUAAAUUACCUUUGUUACAGACCUGAGGACUUGUAUCAGUGAAAGGUGGGAAUUACCUCAAAUUGGCUGGUACCGGAGGCUAGUACGUAGGCAGUUGUGGCAGAACACUUGUGAUCACCAAAGGGAAGAAAAGGAGCAAGGACAGGUUUUCUUUUAGCUUUCAAAUCUUAGUAAAGAAAUGGAAUCUUCACACAAAACAGCUGAGCACUUAGCUGAUAACUAAGUCGUAGAGCCCUAUUAUAAAUUAGAGGGUAGGGUGAGGUGAUGUCUAUAUUAUUUUUUUGUAACAUGCCAGCUAUGCAAGUUAUAGACAAGACACUUCUGUUGCAGAAUACGGGGACAUUAAGUUUUCAUCACCCUAAAACAGUGUGAAGAUUAGAAAAAGAUAACUCUCUCUCUCUCUCUCUCUCUCUUUCUCUCUCUCUCUCUUUCUCCAUCUCUAUCUCAUUUAUAUAUUCACAUAUAUACAUGCUUACCACGCAUUCAAUACAAUUCUAAGUUCUAACCAUAUGCUACAUGAAACUUUUCUUUGUCGGGUCUGCAGCAGAACCUCUACAGAUAUUCCUUGGGAGUAUGGUAAGAAAUAUGUUUUGCAGGAAUGUCAAAGUAAAACAUGCCUAGGUAACUUGAAAAUAUUGGGAUUGUAUACCUACUGGACAUAGGUGAUAAACUUUUAAACAAGAAAAGGAACUACAGAACCCCAGGCUGGGAAAGCACCAAUCAAAGUUUUGAUUGAUUGCCCUUACAUUUCUAGAGAGAGAAACUUGAGUACAGUAUUCUCAGUCCUGGUUAUGCCAGCAGCAGCGAUUAGUCAGAGCUCUCUGUAAGACCUUGCGGACAGCCCUUUCAAAUUGAGCAAACAAUUUGGAAACUUCUCCCAAGGUGUUAUGCACUGAAAUUAU
rnacentral:lncRNA from 1 species